GGUUGAUCCUGCCAGCGGUGAUAUGCUCAGAUAAAAGAUUAAGCCAUGCAUGUCUAAGAACAUAUGUGUAAACAUGAAUCUGCGAACGGCUCAUUAUUAACACCCAUAAUCUACCCAGUUUUCGUAUCCAAAACGGAUAUCUGCGUUAAUUUUGGAGCUAAUACGUGCACCAACGUGCUGCUAGCAAUAGUGGCACGCACUUAUUAGAUCAAGGCCGAUUGGGGCAACCCUUUUGGUGACUCUGAAUAAUUUUGCGGAUCGUAUGGUCUUGUACCGACGACGUACUGGUCGAGUGGGUGCCCUAUCAACUAUUGAUGGAAGUCUAUGUGUCUUCCAUGGUUGUAACGGGUAACGGAGAAUAAGGGUUCGACUCCGGAGAGCUAGCCUUAGAAACGGCUAUCACAUCCAAGGAAGGCAGCAGGCGCGUAAAUUACCCACUCUCAAUUCGAGGAGGUAGUGACUAUCAAUAACGAGACAGAUCUCUUUGAGGUCUGUCAUUGCAAUGAGCACAACUUAAAGACUUUAACGAAGUCUAUGGGAGGGCAAGUCUGGUGCCAGCAGCCGCGGUAAUUCCAGCUCCCAACGUGUAUAUCGUCAUUGCUGCGGUUAAAAAGCUCGUAGUUGGAUCUUAGCUCAUGUCGGUAGUUCUCCAUGUGAGAUACUGCUCGGCUGAGCUGUUUCGCCGGUUUUCCGUAGUUUCGGCUGCGGUGACUGGUGUUGUAACUUUGAUUAAAUCAAUGUGAUUAAAACAGGCGUUUGCUUGAAUGCUUUAUCAUGGAAUAAUAGAAUAUGACUUCGGUCCAUUCUGUUGGUCUUGGGAUCGAAGUAAUGAUUAAAAGGAACAACUCGGGGGCAUCCGUAUCGCUGCGUGAGAGGUGAAAUUCUUGGACCGCAGCGAGACGACCUAUUGCGAAAGCAUUUGCCAAGAAUGUUUUCAUUAAUCAAGAACGAAAGUCAGAGGAUCGAAGGCGAUUAGAUACCGCCCUAGUUCUGACCGUAAACUAUGCCAACUAGCGAUCAGGUGGUGGUAGUUUAGCCCUGCCUGGGAGCUUCUCGGAAACGAAAGUCUUCGGGUUCCGGGGGUAGUAUGGUUGCAAAUCUGAAACUUAAAGGAAUUGACGGAAGGGCACCACCAGGAGUGGAGCCUGCGGCUUAAUUUGACUCAACACGGGAAAUCUCACCCGGACCGGACACUAUAAUGAUUGACAGAUUGAUAGUUCUUUCUUGAUUUGGUGGUUGGUGGUGCAUGGCCGUUCUUAGUUCGUGGAUUGAUCUGUCUGGUUUAUUCCGAUAACGAACGAGACUCUAACCUGCUAACUAGUGAUGCGUUAAUUGAGACGUACCUACUUCUUAGAGGGAUAAGCGGUGUUCAACCGCAUGAGAUUGAGUAAUAACAGGUCUGUGAUGCCCUUAGAUGUUCGGGGCUGCACGCGCGCUACACUGGAAAGUGCAGCAAGCGUUAUUAACCUUGGCCGAAAGGUCUGGGUAAUCUUUUGAAAGCUUUUCGUGUUUGGAAUAGAGGAUUGAAAUUAUUUCUCUUGAACGAGGAAUUCCCAGUAAGUAUGAGUCAUUAGCUCAUGCUGAUUACGUCCCUGCCCUUUGUACACACCGCCCGUCGCUGCCCGGGACUGAGUUGCCUCGAGAAAUGCGGGGACUUUCGGAGUUGGGUUUCCCUUCUCUGAUGGGAACCGCGUACUUGUAAUUUGAUUGGAAUUGAAUGGCUAUGAAUGAAUGGUUAUGAAUAUGAAUACG
rnacentral:rRNA from 1 species